rnacentral:rRNA from 1 species
AACGAACGCUGGCGGCAUGCCUAACACAUGCAAGUCGAACGAAACCUUCGGGUCUAGUGGCGCACGGGUGCGUAACGCGUGGGAACCUGCCCUUAGGUUCGGAAUAACUCCCCGAAAGGGGUGCUAAUACCGGAUAAUGUCUUCGGACCAAAGAUUUAUCGCCUUUGGAUGGGCCCGCGUUGGAUUAGCCAGUUGGUAGGGUAAAAGCCUACCAAGGCGACGAUCCAUAGCUGGUCGGAGAGGAUGAUCAGCCACACUGGGACUGAGACACGGCCCAGACUCCUACGGGAGGCAGCAGUGGGGAAUAUUGGACAAUGGGCGAAAGCCUGAUCCAGCAAUGCCGGGUGAGUGAUGAAGGCCUUAGGGUUGUAAAGCUCUUUUACCCGGGAUGAUAAUGACAGUACCGGGAGAAUAAGCUCCGGCUAACUCCGUG